rnacentral:rRNA from 1 species
UACGUAGGAGGCGAGCGUUGUCCGGAGUUACUGGGCGUAAAGGGUGCGCAGGCGGCCGUGCGCGUGUGGGGUGAAAGCUCCUGGCUCAACUGGGAGAGGGCUCUGCAGACGGCACGGCUUGAGGCUCGGCGGGGGGCGUGGAAUUCCGGGUGGAGCGGUGAAAUGCGUAGAGAUCCGGAGGAACACCGACGGCGAAGGCAGCGCCCUGGACGAGCCCUGACGCUCAGGCACGAAAGCUGGGGGAG